UUUUUUUUUUUCUUUUUUUUUUUUUCAGUUUUUGGCUUUCUUUCUGUUUUCCUACUCAAUUUUUUUGGUUAAUGGUAUACAUUUUUUUUAUCAAAUGCACAAUUAAUGUACUACACUAUUAUGAGUCGAACUCAUGACUUCUCACUUAUAAAGGGAGACUUAUGUCACUAUACCAAAUGAUACUGGGCAAUGCUAUACAGUUUGCAAAAGAGAAAAUUGUAUUCUAAAAAAAAAACAACAACAAUAAUAAUGAUAUUAAUAUUAAUGAGAGAAAAUUAAAUAUUUUUAUAUUUGAUUAGUGUCAAUUGUGUUUUAAAAGCAAUCUUUUGGUAUUAAUGAGGUUGAUGGCACAGAGCUGAUAUUAUGACUUCAUUCACUUAGAGUAAUUGAUGUUGAACAUGUAAAUGUUUACAAUAAAUUAUGUUUUGAUCAAAUUUAUGGAUUCAACUUACAUAUCUAAAAACAAUAACAUGUUAAUUUCUUAACUUUUGUAUUGUCUGAUGUUCAACUUAUGACAUGUAUUGAUGAACGCUCUUUAUAUAUAUUAUUUGCAAUUCUACAAUUCUUGGUUGUUGAUUUUUGUUCAGCUUUCUUUCAAAAUGACAAGUAGAUUUCAUGGAGCUGUUGUUUGUAAGUUCCGAACAAUAAUUGAUUAAAUUAAUGAAAAAUUACAUAAUAAUUAUUAAACUAGCAGAAACCGCACUCCCACACGCGCGCAAACGUGUACGAAGGCUAGUAUACAUAUAAAUAGACAUCUCUAUCAGCUUAGCUUUUCAUUGCAAUACCUUCACACAAAUUAUAUCUUCUUCAGAAAACUCUUACGCACCCGGUCUAAAUCUCCCAAAAUGAAGCAAUCGGUAGAGAUAGUGUUCAUCCCAUCCCCAGGCAUUGGUCACCUCGUGUCGACGGUGGAGGUGGCAAAGCUCCUCCUGUCUCGAGAUGACCGACUCUUCAUCACUGUCCUCAUCAUGAAGUUUCCGUUCAGCUCAGACCCCAUUGAUGCCUACAUUGAAUCCUUCGCGGACUCAUCCAUAUCACACCGGAUCAAGUUCAUCAACCUCCCACAACAGAAUAUCGAGACACAAGGUAAUAGCACCAUCAACUUCUUGAACUUCAGUGGCAGUCAGAAAACCAACGUUAAAGAUGUUGUCGCCAAACUCAUCGAGUCCAAGACCGAGACUCGACUCGCCGGGUUUGUCAUCGACAUGUUUUGCACAUCCAUGAUCGAUGUAGCCAACGAAUUGGGGGUUCCUACCUACGUGUUCUUCACUUCCAGCGCAGCCUCUCUAGGGGUCUUGCUCCACCUUCAAGCACUUCGUGAUGACCAAAACAAAGACUGUCUUGAGUUUAACGACUCCACUGCUGAUUUGGUAAUUCCGAGUUACGCCAAUCCAUUGCCUGCUAGAGUCUUGCCCGGUGUCCUUUUCGAUCGCGAAAAGGUCGGAGGAAACGGGUUUCUCAACUUAGCCAAAAGGAUUAGAGAUGUCAAGGGUAUUCUCAUAAAUACAAUGACAGAGCUGGAGUCGCAUGCCCUUCUUUCUCUCAGUUCCGAUGGCAAGCUCCCUCCGGUGUAUCCGGUGGGACCUAUACUCAACGUGAAGAGCGAUGACAACAAUGACCAAGUGGAUUCGAAGCAGACGUCUGAUAUCUUGAAAUGGCUCGAUGAUCAGCCUCCGUCGUCUGUAGUGUUUCUAUGCUUCGGGAGCAUGGGAAGCUUCAGUGAAGACCAGAUGAAAGAGAUAGCCCGCGCAUUGGAGCACGGAGGGUUUCGGUUUCUGUGGUCACUGCGUCAGCCUCCACCCAAGGGAAAGAUUGGUGUUCCCAGUGACUAUGCCGAUCACACGGGGGUGUUACCUGAAGGGUUCCUUGAUCGGACGGCGGGAGUCGGAAAAGUUAUAGGCUGGGCGCCACAAGUUGCCAUCUUAUCCCAUCCAGCAGUUGGAGGUUUCGUCUCUCAUUGUGGGUGGAAUUCAACUCUGGAGAGCUUGUGGUUUGGAGUGCCGGUUGCCACUUGGCCCUUGUAUGCUGAGCAGCAACUAAAUGCUUUCCAGCUAGUGAAGGAACUAGGGAUAGCCGUGGAAAUUGAUAUGAGUUAUAGGAAGGACGGUCCGGUUGUUGUGACCGCAGAGAAAAUUGAGCGUGGAAUAAAGGAGCUGAUGGAGCUCGAUAGUGAUAUAAGGAAGAGAGUGAGACAAGUGAGUGAUAAUAGCAAGAAAGCUUUCAUGGAUGGGGGGUCCUCAUAUGCUUCGUUGGGACACUUCAUUGAUCAAAUUUAAAGCUCAUGAUCGAUCACAUUCGGGAUCGAUCGGAAAGCUUUGUUAUUAUUAUGAAAUAUGAGCUAGCACGGUGAAGAAAUGAAUAUGGAGUUCUCUAUUUGCAGAAUGUGCAUUUUGUACUGUUUUUGCUUAUUGAGUCUAUGUUUUGUAAGCGAGAUGCUCUAUAUGGAAAUCUUAUGAUAUUUUCUUGGGUUUUUUUGCACCAACAGUGUCUAACACUUACAUAACUGACAAUAUGGUAUCUGAAUUUACAAAGUGAUACCCAGACUCUAUUUUUCGUAUCUCCGUGGUACCUGCCGUCAACUUCCGUCACGUUCCCGUUAACUUUAACCACAUGCCACGCAUGAGACUCAAUACAUUAGAGUAAAAAGUCCGAUUUAACCUCAAUUUGUUUUAUGACAUGAGAAUCGUAACACUUUUUCCUCCAAAACCUGAUUUUCUGACUAUGACCGACUUUUUCCCCCUCCAAAACUUGACAUUAUGACUAAGACUUGGCUUCUUUUUGCCUCCAAUUUUUCCCUCCCGAAUUUAUCUGAAAUAUGAAUUAUUCCCUCCAAUUUUGAACAAUACAUGUUUAAGUACCAUAUCAAAGACAAAUGUAACUGUUCUCAUUUAUGGAUGUAAACCUCAGAAAUUGACAAUAUAUAUCAAACUGAAUUAUAAGUUAACAACCACAUUCAUUGCUCUAUGGUCCAACAUUUGUUCAAGAAAAUGUCAUCCAAUGUCAUCAAAAGAGAGCAAUUACACCAACUGUUUUUCAUAUCAUCAAACAAUCCGACAUGAAACAUAACAAAAACUAGUUGUCUGAUUCAUAGCAAGUUAACAUCACGCCUCAAAAUCCCACCCAUUCAGAUUCAGUUUGUGCCUUUUUUGCUGCUGGGUUUUGGCUACUUUGAGUUGGAGGUGUGCGCAUGCAUUGUUUGUGAACCAGAAGCCCCUUCAUUGGCACCUUGGUUAGACUCCAUGGCCUUUCGCUUCUUCCAAGCCUUCUUAAACUUAAUGAUCGAUCUAAUCUUUUAAGCUGCUGUUAACCUUUGAGUUGAAGGUGCAUGCAUUGUUUGUGAACUAGAAGCCCCUUCAUUGGCACCUUGGUUAGACUCUAUGGCCUUUCGCUUCUUCCGAGCCUUCUUAAACUUAAUGAUCUGAUCUUUUAAUUAAGCUGCUGUUAACCUUGAUGAGACUCUGGGUGCCUACAUGUGAAAACAUAACCAUAUCCAUCACAACCACAAAAAUAACAAAAGAAAGAGAACAAGCAUAGUAAUAUAGAUAAAUAUAGCAUUUAACUCUGGGUCCCACCAUCCUUGUUAACCUUAGUACAACGUAACAUCCUUCCCAGCAAACAAAGGAAGAACAAGAUCGUUAUGGGGAUCACAUUGAUGAGAUAGAAGAGGAUGUUAAAAAUGCACGCUGGCAUGCCUCAAAAGCAGUACUCAUGUUGCUUCUGGGGACCAUUGUUGCUGCUGCAUGUGGUUGCCGAUCCCCUUGUUGAUGCUGUUGACAACUUCUCAACAGCUACGAGUAUUCCUACAUUCUUCGUCUCCUUUGUUAUUCUGCCUUUUGUUAGCUCCAGUGAGAUUGUGUCCACUCUCAUUUUUGUCAGCCGGAAGAAGCAGAGAUCGGCAUCACUUGCCUACUCCGAGGUUCAAUUCUACACCACAUUUGUGUUAAAUAGCAAUUGCAUGGGGGAGAAGCUCUAACUACAUGUGUACUUUCUGGUGCAGAUAUAUGGAUCAGUAACAAUGAGUGACAUCCUUUCCCUGGCAGUGUUCUUAGGUCUUGUGUACAUCCGAAAUCUGACAUGGAGCUUCUCGGCGGAAGUUCUGGUCAUUAUAAUCGUCUGCAUUCUGAUGGGGGUUGUUGCGAGUUGCCGCACCACCUUCCCUGUUUGGAUGUGUUUUGGGGCUGUAAUGUUAUAUCCCCUAUCUCUGUUGCUAGUUUACAUUCUUGAAUAUGUUUUUGGGUGGUCAUAGACGUCAGUUUUAAGCUGCUUUUCAUUGAUUCAUAAGACAAUAAAUUUGAAAUCAUCUUGUUAUCAUGAAACAAAGCCAAGUUCUUGGCUCAACUAAACUCAGAAGGAACUCUUGGCCUGAUUGAUUAGACUCUUCCUAUGCCAGACAAAACACGAAGAGGAGGGAUGCUUUGCUGGUUUCUGAAGAAGUUAUGUGGAUCAACUUUGCUCUUCACUUCUGCAAGUCUCUUGAAAUUGUUCUUGAAGUACUUUCUCCCCCAACUACUUGCUUCCAUGUAGCUUGUGUUGGUGCCUCUGUUGUUGGUCCCCAACUCAAGGUCCUUAUAAUUGAUAUAGGCACCCCUUGGGGAGUUUGACACAUAAGGCUUCAUAAACCUAUAAAGCAUAUCCAGCCAAUACAUAUGUUUGUUGGCUUCACUAACCUCAUUCACAUCCCACUUCACUAGGUACUGUAUGUUGUACAGAUUCCCUUUCCUAUGAGGAAAUGGAAUUUCAAAUUCCGAAAUCUCAGCCAUUUUUCCACCAUAGGGGUCCAGUAUCAUGAAAACUAGUUGUUCUUGCAUGAACCUCUCCCAAAUCCCUUGUAGCACGAUUUCUGGAAUAGGGUUUACUACAUAGUCGGAUUUGGCCUUGAAAUUGCUCUUGUAGAGUACCUCCUUAGACAACAAGACCUCCAAAGGCUGGUCUUUUUUAUAUCCAGCGAAGUACUGAGCAGAUUGGACCCAACUCAUUUCAAUGCAGUCUUUUGCUUCCAAACCCAACUCUGGAAAGCUCUGUUUCAUCAAUGGCAUGAGUGUCUCGAUCCCUCCCAGAAACAAAGAAUUGAAAUCGGCUUGGACUUGUUUCUGACUCCCACUCCCUACAUUUUGAAGGAUGACUCUCAUGAAAAGAUCCUCAUGGAAGUUGUGUGCAAUGUACUGCCACCUAUUCACAAGGCUACUUCCACCUUGUGAAAUUAACUUGCUCACUGUAAAACCUGUCACAACUUUUGGGACCUGAACCAAUUUGAUCUUCCAUGAAACAAUGAUCCCAAAACUUGCUCCCCCACCUCCUCUAAUGGCCCAAAACAGGUCCUCACCCAUUGUUUUUCUGUUCAUGAUUUUCCCAUUUGCAUCAAUCAAAAUUGCAUCUAUGACAUGGUCAGCUGCUAGGCCAUAUUUUCUAAUCAAAGUCCCAAAUCCACCACCACUAAAAUGACCUCCAACUCCAACAGUUGGGCAAAUCCCAGCUGGGAAUCCAUGGACAUCACUUUUCUUCCCAAUGCUAUAGUAAAGCUCACCUAGUGUAGCUCCUGACUGAACCCAAGCUGUUUCAUCUGCAAGGUUGAUAUCAAUGGACUUGAAGUUGAUCAUGUCAAUGAUGAUGAAGGGGGUCUUGCAGAGAUAUGAGAGCCCUUCAUAGUCAUGACCUCCACUUCUGACCCUGAUUUGUAUGCCACGUUUUUUGCUGCACAGCACAGCUGCAUGGAUUUCGGACUCGUUGAAAGGUGUUAGAAUGAGAAGAGGCUUUGAUGUGGAGUUUAGCCAUCUAGGGUUUUGUUGUGAGGAUUUCAAGAUAGAUGAAUAAGAAGAUGAGUUUGAGGUGUGGAUAAUUUGAGAGACUUCGCUGUAGUAACUGAGUUGAGUUGUCAUGCACAGCCUGAGAGGUUCAGUGGUUGGAUCAGAACUUGCACAUGAAACUAAACUCAGAAACAAAGAAAGCACUAGUACUAAGAACUCCAUCUCUUGCAGAUUUGAGCUUGAGACGUCUUUGGUUGGCCACACAUAUACAUCUGCUUCAUGCACUUAUAUGCUUAGUACGUUCGGCUUGUUAUCCUGCUACACUGCAUAUAAACAAAGAGCUAAAGUGAAAUUAGUGAUGAUUACUAUGCAGCAAACAAGAGGAUCUACCAGUUUUGGCCUUUUUUUAUUUACUUCUGUCGGUAUUCAUCAAUUAAAGUCUGUGCCUUAUCGAAUGCCCAUUGCCAAGUUACCCACAAUGUGUCGACAUGUAAUGUAAGCAACCUCUUGUACUUCUGGCUAUAUUUUCAUGGAUAUUGCUAAACAAUCACCGAGUCCCAAUCUACACCAGAAGAGAUCAACAAAAGGUCUGACGCCCUGGCCUUAUAUAUAUGAUAAAUUGUCAGAAAUUUCUACUAAUUUAACAUGGUAACUCAAACCAAUUUACUGUAAUUGAUUGAAGUAGGUAGCUGCAUGCUUGCUUCCUUGUCAUUGGCAUUUGGUUCUGCUUAUGAUUCGUGUUUGCAUGCAAAAUAAGUAGCUAUGUGUCAAAUUGCAUGCAUAUAUAGUUGAUUAAUGCACUUCUAGUUCUUUCUCGGUCUGUCUGUUUCUUCCGGUUUUUUCCUAGCCUUCUAGUGUCCAAAAUGGAUUGUAUCCAACUCAUUUCCCUGCAGUCCUUGGGCUUCAAACCUAACUCUGGAGCCAAUCAAUCGGACUAAUUGAUCAAUGGUUCCUAGAAAUAAUGCAUUGAAAUUUGCUUGAAUUGUUGCUAUCCCUUUUGAAUCUUUCACUACGAAGAAGAUUAUUCUUAUGAACAAAUCCUCAGGUACUUGGUCCCUUCAACAAAUCAGUUAUUCUUAUGACAUAGCUCUAUAAAAAUGAACCAUGAAUGCGAUUAACAAACAACAAACCAGUUUUUACCGAAAAAAAAGGUCCAUGAGAUCAUACUGUAUGUUGCUUAUUUUGUGUUAUUUCUUUCCUUGGAUUGAGCUCAAUCAGUGCAAUUAGGAAUAAUCAAGAUGUCUCUUCAGAUUCUUCCAUGUUUCAAUACUGUGAAUCUGCUUCUGGCACUUGUAACCCAAUACAGAAAAUGAUGCACUCUAGAAGUUAAUCAUUGAUAAUCUUUACCAACUUAUCAAGGCUAGGUGUUAAAGUUGCCAACACAAAGCUAGUGGUUCUUGGAGAAGCAUUGCGCCUAAAUCAAUAGGUCUUUUGAAGUGGACUACACCGUGCUGAUGAGACACAUAACAGGGGCAAUUCUCUGCAAAUUUAACACAUCAAUCCAUUGAUAGAAUUUCUUGUACAGCACAACACAUUUCAUCCAUCUUUAGGUCCUCUACUCAAGCCUCAGGUUCAACUGUUCAAGUGUUCAACAACACCACAAUCGAAAGCCUCGAGUCAUGUUAGCCAUAGUAGGCUCAGUGGGCAAUCCCAGUUGGUAGUGGGGACUGGGGAGGCCACGUUAUAGGACACUCUGGUGUUAAAUAAUAAUCCACAAAACACUGUGAAGACUAUUUACCCCAAAGGACUGACACCAACAUCACAUGACAUUUGCAUUAGCUCAUCAAGGUGAUACCAAGACACAUUUCAUGCUUCUAUAAAGCAACACACACUAAGCUGAUUCCUCAACAUAAGUACCAAGAGAGUUAAACAAGGCAGCAUGGUGCUUCCAAACUGUUCAAAGUUUCUGCUGUUUCCUUUUCUUCUCCUGCUAUCGUCUUCAUCUUCUUUGGCACAUUCUCCAUCAUCUAGUGAAGACGUUUUUAGCCAGUGCCUCUCGUAUCACUCUAAGGUUUCAAUUUCAUUCUCAAGCACCAUUUUUACCCCAAACAACUCUGCCUUCACCACCAUCCUACAAUCAACUGCGGAGAACCUCAGAUACGUAGUCCCUUCAGCACCAAAGCCAGAGUUCAUUUUUACACCAACACAUGAUUCCCAUGUUCAAACUGCUGUUAUUUGCUCAAAACAGCUGGGAAUACAUCUUAGAGUCCGGAGUGGAGGCCACGACUACGAGGGUCUCUCCUAUGUGUCCGAAAUUGAAACACCUUUCAUCGUCCUAGAUCUUGCCAAACUUCGAUCAGUUAAUGUUGAUAUCCAACAGAACAGUGCAUGGAUUCAAGCUGGUGCCACCAUUGGCGAAGUUUACUACAGAAUUGCAGAGCAAAGCGCAACACAUGGCUUCCCCGCCGGUCUUUGCACGAGUCUAGGUGUGGGAGGUCAUAUAACCGGAGGUGCAUAUGGUUCCAUGAUGAGAAAAUAUGGCCUUGGGGUUGAUAAUGCUGUCGAUGCUCAAAUAGUUGAUGUAGACGGCAGAAUUCUUGACCGAGAGACCAUGGGAGAGGACCUGUUUUGGGCAAUCAGAGGAGGUGGAGGAGCAAGCUUUGGAAUUAUCCUGUGGUGGAAGAUAAAGCUGGUUCCAGUUCCAUCAACUGUGACAGUUUUUACAGUUGCCAGGACCUUGGAACAAGAUGGAACAAAGCUCCUACAUAGGUGGCAACAAGUGGCUGCUACUGAGCUUGAUGAAGAUCUUUUUAUUAGAGUUAUCAUACAACUAACAAGUGACAGCAAAAGUGGCAAGAGAACUGUCACAACUCUUUACCAAGCUCAGUUCCUCGGAGGGGUUGAAAGACUCCUCUAUGUUAUGCAAACAGGCUUCCCGGAACUGGGAUUGACCCGAAAAGAUUGUACUGAAACCAGUUGGAUCAAAUCUGUGAUGUACAUUGCAAACUAUCCUAAUGGAACUCAACCAGAGAUUCUGCUCCAAGGAAAAUCUACAACCAGGAGUUACUUCAAAGCCAAAUCAGACUUUGUCAAAGAUCCGAUCCCUGAGACCGGGCUUGAGGGACUGAGGAAAAGGUUGAUGGAAGAAACCAAUCCUGUGUUGAUUUGGACACCAUAUGGGGGAAUGAUGAGCAAGAUAUCGGAGUCGGAUACACCUUUCCCUCACAGGAAAGGAGUCCUCUUCAAGAUUCAGUACCUGACUAUAUGGCAAGCUGCAAAUCAAGACGAGGCAAAGCACAUGGACUGGAUUAGGAAGCUUUACAACUACAUGGCUCCUUAUGUCACAAUGUUUCCGAGGCAAGCAUAUGUGAACUAUAGGGACCUUGAUUUGGGGAUCAACAAGAAGAGCAAUUUAAGUUUCAUUGAAGCAAGUUCUUGGGGUUAUAGGUAUUUCAAGGACAACUUCAACAGACUGAUAAAAAUUAAGACCAAAGUGGAUCCUUAUAACUUCUUCAGGCAUGAGCAAAGCAUCACACCUCUUCCACUCACUGUAGGAAGAACAAUGAACUAGAUAUGAUGGUGGUAGCAAAGUAAAGGGCUAUGAGUUUUUUUUAUCAAAGUUAGCAUAAAACUUCAUCUGUUUGAAAAAUAGUAAUCCUGAAUCUAAAUUUACCAAGAGUAAUAACCAGCAAAUUGGAGAGUAUAGUCAGACCAAGUUUAUAUGCAGGAAUAAUGAUUGAAUAAAUGUGUCAAUGAUAUGCAGCAAUCUAUGUAGCAAUCCUGAUCACUAAUAUAAUACUAGGUACUAUUGUGUGUAUUUUAUAUUCUAGUGCUCAUUGCCCCAAGUAGUUCAAAAUGAACUCUGGAUUCUGAAAUCUCAACAAUCAUAUUCUUCCUUGAUGGAUGUAAUAUGCUCCUAAGAGUAAUCCUCAAGUCAGUGACCAAGUAAACUAAAUAUAAUUGGACACAAUCAAAGAAUAAAGUUUACAUGCAUUAGAGACUUUACUUGCUACACUUCUUGAAAUUUCAUAAUAUACAGAGGUCAAGAUAUAUCCACAAUUUCUUAAUAUAACUAGUCCUGCUCCUGUUAUAACUUUGUAAUAACAAAGACAAUUUAAUGGAGUUGAACCUCUCAUACGUACCUUCAGUCUUUCUCUUGAUAAGCCACCAAUAGGCCAACAUGAUAAGAAAAAGUGCCAGCAGAACAGGUAAAAGUAGAACAACAAGAGUUCCCCUUCUUCUAAGGAAACCUCUUGGUUUUCUGUCAUUCUCAGCUGCAAGUGAAAGCAAGUAAGAAAUUAAAAACAGAUCACCAUGACAAGGAGCAUUUACAUGCAAGCCAAAAUUUCCAGUACGGUGAUGCCUAGCAAAAUCAUAAUCUCAUUUGAGUAGUACCUGACUCAGUUCCAUCUGCUCGAACAUAGAAAUCUUUUCCCUGCUCUGCCAAUAUUAAACUGUCCAUCAAUUCCCCAUACCAUGCCAUGCAACCACCACCUCCAUCAAUUUGUAGACUUGCAUAUGCGACACAUGAACAAUUGUUCUUCUUACACUCACUUUCACCCAUCUUUGUGUCCAGCAAAGCUGAUAUUGAUGCAUAUGGAAGCUUCACAUGUUCCACCUUCACAAAUUUCUUUCCACACUUGUCAGAUUCUUCUACCUGCUUACUCACACACCCAUCUGACCAGAUCCCCUCAGACCAAUUCACUGAAGAAUUUGGUUGAUACCCUGGCAAACAUGAACACUCGGAUUGUAUAUUGUCAAGACUACAUUCACUGAAGGUGCCACAAUGUCCGUAUGGGUGACACUGAACUUUGGCGCUGCCCACAACUCUGUCCAUUGCCCCUCAACAUCAUUCCAUGUUAGGUGCUGAAGUAUGCCAUUAGUCAACCACAAGUCCUGAAAUUUCAGAGGAUUUCUUAGAAGAAUCAAUCAAAUAUGUCUCAUCUUCAUUAUUGACAAAACUGUAGUUAUAUGCAUAAGGGUGCAGAGAAUCCAUAUGCUUUUCCCAUGUCUAUUAGGUUCUGUGACCUUUUGGCAACUACCAAUAUUCCACCAUCAUACUAACAGUAACAUAACACCUGUAUGAGCAAAUUUUACAUUCAAAUAGGUUCUGAUAUUAUCAGCAUUAAUCAACACAGUUCAUCAAAAGCACCAAUCUUUUCAGUUUAAAACACUAACCCUAUUCACAAAAGCAUCAGUAACAAAACCCCAACACAUAAACAAGCCCAAUCUUUUCAAUCUCUUCUUCCUCUUGUGAAACCCAGACACAGAGUCACUUCACAAACCAAAACCCAAAGCUCCAAAAGCAUAAAGGAAGCAAAUUUCAGGGUCUAGUUUGAAGGUGGGUACCUGAGACCUUAAGAGCCCUCUUGCUGACGUAACGGCCACGCAGAGCUGCGGCCAGAAUCGCCGCGUCUUCCGCCUUGUCUGCUACCAUGAGAGAGAGAGAGAGAGAGAGAGAGAGAGAGCUCAGGUCGUUGUUUAAUGCGGUCCAACACCCACUGCAGGCACUUGGAAUGGUACGAGGCCGUAGCUGAUCAGAAUUUUUCAUAUAGCAAUUCGAUAAACCAAGUCUGGACUUAGUACGCUGGGAGACGUAAUCAAAGAGGGACCGUUCUGAUACUAACUAGAAAAGGGUCAAACGAGGAUCUGGAUCCUCUCCUAAUAAACCUUUGCUAAUAUUUCCUAAUAAGAAGAUCUAGACCGUUCAUUUUUCAUAGACGGUCAAGAUGUUAACAAGGCUAUUUCUCAUCUACUCUCUUAUUACUGUCUCGAUCAAAUUCUCAUCCCAUUCUCUCUCUCUUUCGUCCCGGAAAUCAAUCUCGCCUCUGUUCGAACCUCUUCCCAACCUCCGGCUCCGGUGUGGAGGUGUCCUCCACGCAGAAGACCCAUUUGCUCUGGGACCGAAAUCUCUCUUUGACUCUUCUGAUUACCGGUAGCUUGAAUUGCGUUACAUCAACAGUUGCCCAAAGUGGGACUGUGUUUCGUCUCCAUAAAACUUGUUUUGAAUUGCUUUUUGAAGGCACGAGCACGUUGACAAUUAUUCUGGUGAUUGAGAGUUUUGUUGUUACUUCUGUUUUCGGCAGCAUAUUUCAGUGAUAUGUGUGUUGGUGCAAUUGCGUGCCGACUUGAGAGGAAUGAAGGUGGGGUUGUCUGUACAUCAUGACAUUGAUUUGGUGUUGGGAUGUCCAGGAUGUCCAGAAAGACUCAUAAUUCUGAUAUGCAGUACAAGUUUCUUGGAUUCAAGUUUCUUUGAUCUUUGUCACUUCUCAUUUAUGUUUGAUUAGUCUAGUUGCAGACUUGCUAAAUCAUUAGAAGGCCGAGUCAUGUGAGCAUUUGUUAUGUUUCUACAGACAUGACUCUGCCUCUUUCCAUUAAAUCAUUGUACCGAGACAUGACUGUUAAUUGAAAUUUUUUGAAGUAAGUGGCACCAUGUCUGCAGCUGAAGCAUGCUUUAGUCGGAAAGUUCCUUAAACUUGAUAAAAACCAAUUUUGAUCUGUGAGCAUUAGAUAUUGAACUCUGAAUCAUAAAGUGUUCACAUGACAAAAAUCCAGAUUUGGCUACCCUAAUAUACUAAUUCAUAGAAGACAUAAUUAUGCUUUUGGAAUUCAAAAAGGUUUACAAUGGUUAGUUAGUGAUUGUAUCUCAACUGUGUGGAGUUCAGUAUCAUCUCCACUGAUGCGGAACAUAAAGCAAAAAUAUUAGUAUCUUAAAGAUCCAUAGCCCACAAAAACAAAAAUUAGAAGCUUAAUGCCAUGUACAUGACCUCAUCAAGCUAUAAUCUGGAUGUGGUUGGUCAUUGUACUUCAAGAGUUCAAGGCAUCUAGCUGAACAGCUUCUUCUGCGCUAAACUAGAGCACAAAUCAUAUACAGAGAAAUAAGAUGUCUUUUGUUGCAUUCCGUCCAAAGCCAAGACAUAAGCCUAUCAAAUAACCCACACAAAACGACCUCAUUUGGAUGGUCACCUGGUCACCCACUACUCGAACCGACCCUUCAACUCAAACCCUGCACAACUGAAGUCUCCGGCCAUCCUGUUAUGGGCUCAAAAAUCUUCCGAGAAAAGGAGUCCUCAGUCCGGCGAGCUCGCUAGCCAGAUAUAGAGGGCCCAAGCCGCCGUGGAGGACACCAGAGCCGGAGGUUGAGAAGAGGUCCGGACGGAAGCAAGAUUGAUUUCGGGGACGAGAGAGAGAGAGAGAGAGAGAGAGAGAGAGAGAGAGAGAGAGANNNNNNNNNNNNNNNNNNNNAGAGAGAGAGAGAGAGAAUGGGACGAGAAUUUGAGGGAGAGUCGAGACAGAAAUAAGAGAAUAGAUGAGAAAUAGCCUUGAGUUAAGAGUAUGAGAGAUCUUAGCCGUCUAUUGAAAAUAAACGGUCUAGAUCUUCUUAUUAGGAAGUAUUAGCAGAGGUUCAUUAUGAGAGGAUCUGGAUCCGUCAAAUGAAACCCGAGGAUCAUUAUUGGAUGGAUAUUGUUUAAACUUAAUUAUUUUUAAGACGUUAAGUUUUAAUUACAAAAAACUUCAAUAUAAUUAAAUAUGAUUUAUUUUAUAUCUCUGAUAUGAAACCUUUUCGGUUGUUCCUGAAAGAUCAUAUGCGUUAAUCUAUAGUUAGUUUUGUAGUGUUCAAUUGUCUACAAUGACAGACAGAGAAGAUUGAUUGCAAGUUGCAUAUUUCAUUGUACACUACAGCUAAAUUUUCGUGUGCACCUGUGUCGGUAUAUAUUUUGGAUGGAUGACUCCACUCAUGCAGCUAGGGCGGCUCCGGCUAGGGUACAGAAAAUCCCUCUUUGAGAUAGAUAUUCUGGAAGUUGGAAUCAUGGGAUCAUAAUCAAUAGGUUGGAAAUUUCAUUAUUAUUUCUCUUUCUUUUU
rnacentral:lncRNA from 1 species